rnacentral:rRNA from 1 species
CAGGUGGUGCAUGGUUGUCGUCAGCUCGUGUCGUGAGAUGUUGGGUUAAGUCCCGCAACGAGCGCAACCCUUGCCUUUAGUUGCCAGCACGUUAAGGUGGGCACUCUAGAGGGACUGCCGGUGACAAACCGGAGGAAGGUGGGGAUGACGUCAAAUCAUCAUGCCCCUUAUGAUCUGGGCUACACACGUGCUACAAUGGCCGGUACAACGAGAAGCGAAACCGCGAGGUGAAGCAAAUCUUUUAAAGCCGGUCCCAGUUCGGAUUGCAGGCUGAAACUCGCCUGCAUGAAGUUGGAGUUGCUAGUAAUCGCGGAUCAGCAUGCCGUGGUGAAUGCGUUCCCGGGUCUU